AUCAAUUCCCAAUUACCUCUUUCACUCUCUAAGCCACGUCUCUCUCUAAGCUAGGGCUCCUAAACUUGACAACUUUCAGCGUUCUAUGUCAAAAAUUGACGACGGUGGAGUGUUAACGGCGGCGAUGAAUGACGGUAUUGAAGGUGAAUCAAGAAAUUUCCAUCUUCACUGAUUCAAGGUGAUUUUUUUUCAGGUGGUUAAUAAAGAAAAUCAAUGGCAUCAAAAGGUCAUGGUAAUAGAUGGCGUAAGAAAGGAAUAUGAAAAUGGGGGAAAAGAGUGCCCUUUUAUUGAUGUCUACGAAGAAACGCAUAGGAAGAAAAACAAGGACGGUACAAGAGGAGAUUGGGUAGAAACGCAUGCUAAGAAUGCAUAUUAAGAAUUUCAAAAAAGCAUAGAAGAGUGGCGUCAAACACAACUAUGAGGAAGAUAAUGAAUCUGAUGAUAAUUAGAUUGUAGUUAUUGUUCUUGUUUUUGGUUGUGACAUUUAGAUGUUUAAAUUAUUUGAUUUGAUGUUUGUUUUGAAUGGUUUAAAGUGGUUGUAUUUAUAAAUUUUUGUUCUGUUUGAUCCUAUUGUGAAAAACAUAUUAGUUAUGUCGUUUAUAAUCUAAAAGUUGUGAAAUCA